GAUGAACGCUAGCGGCAGGCUUAACACAUGCAAGUCGAGGGGUAUAGUAGCAAUACUAGAGACCGGCGCACGGGUGCGUAACGCGUAUGCAAUCUACCUUUCACAGAGGGAUAGCCCAGAGAAAUUUGGAUUAAUACCUCAUAGUAUUAUGAAUUGGCAUCAUUUUAUAAUUAAAGAUUUAUCGGUGAAAGAUGAGCAUGCGUCCCAUUAGCUAGAUGGUAAGGUAACGGCUUACCAUGGCUACGAUGGGUAGGGGUCCUGAGAGGGAGAUCCCCCACACUGGUACUGAGACACGGACCAGACUCCUACGGGAGGCAGCAGUGAGGAAUAUUGGUCAAUGGGCGCAAGCCUGAACCAGCCAUGCCGCGUGCAGGAUGACGGUCCUAUGGAUUGUAAACUGCUUUUGUACAGGAAGAAACACUCCCUCGUGAGGGAGCUUGACGGUACUGUAAGAAUAAGGAUCGGCUAACUCCGUGCCAGCAGCCGCGGUAAUACGGAGGAUCCAAGCGUUAUCCGGAAUCAUUGGGUUUAAAGGGUCCGUAGGCGGCUUAAUAAGUCAGUGGUGAAAUCCCUACGCUUAACGUANGAACGGCCAUUGAUACUGUUAGGCUUGAAUUAUUAGGAAGUAACUAGAAUAUGUAGUGUAGCGGUGAAAUGCUUAGAGAUUACAUGGAAUACCAAUUGCGAAGGCAGGUUACUACUAAUGGAUUGACGCUGAUGGACGAAAGUGUGGGUAGCGAACAGGAUUAGAUACCCUGGUAGUCCACGCCGUAAACGAUGGAUACUAGCUGUUGGGGGCAACUUCAGUGGCUAAGCGAAAGUGAUAAGUAUCCCACCUGGGGAGUACGUUCGCAAGAAUGAAACUCAAAGGAAUUGANGGGGGCCCGCACAAGCGGUGGAGCAUGNGGUUUAAUUCGAUGAUACNCGAGGAAC
rnacentral:rRNA from 1 species